rnacentral:rRNA from 1 species
CCUACGGGUGGCUGCAGUGGGGAAUAUUGCACAAUGGAGGGAACUCUGAUGCAGCGACGCCGCGUGAGUGAAGAAGUAAUUCGUUAUGUAAAGCUCUAUCAGCAGGGAAGAAAGUGACGGUACCUGAAAAAGAAGCUCCGGCUAAAUACGUGCCAGCAGCCGCGGUAAUACGUAGGUGGCAAGCGUUAUCCGGAAUGACUGGGCGUAAAGGGUGCGUAGGUGGUUUAGUAAGUUGGCGGUGUAAUUCCGGGGCUCAACCUCGGCGCUACCGCCAAAACUAUUAGACUAGAGUGCAGGAGGGGUAAGUGGAAUUCCUAGUGUAGCGGUGGAAUGCGUAGAUAUUAGGAAGAACACCAGUGGCGAAGGCGGAUGACUGGACGACAACUGACGGUGAGGCGCGAAAGCGUGGGGAGCAAACAGGAUUAGAUACCCCUGUAGUC